GACGAACCGUACGAACGUUAUUCGGAAUUACUGGGCUUAAAGGGUGCGUAGGCUGUGCAGAAAGUUGGGUGUGAAAUCCCUCAGCUUAACUGAGGAACUGCGCCCAAAACUACUGCGCUCGAGGGAGACAGGGGUAAGCGGAACUUACGGUGGAGCGGUGAAAUGUGUUGAUAUCGUAAGGAACACCGGUGGCGAAGGCGGCUUACUGGGUCUCUUCUGACGCUGAGGCACGAAAGCUAGGGGAGCAAACGGGAUUAGAAACCCCCGUAGUCC
rnacentral:rRNA from 1 species